rnacentral:rRNA from 1 species
AUGAUUCAUUUGCUAACAUUAUUAGUUCGUGAACUUGGAGGGUUAUGUGAUUCGUUAGAAAAAGGAAUGAUAGUUACUUUUUCUCUCUCUAUAACAGGAUUGUUAGAUUCUCGUUGGGCUUCUACGGGGCAUUUUCCAUUAACUAAUUUAUAUGAGUCAUUGAUCUUUCUUCCAUGGGCUCUGUAUAUUCUCCACACCAUUUCUAAAAUACAGAACUCUAAAAAUGAUUUAAGCACAAUAACUACGCCAAGUACUAUUUUAAUGCGAGGGUUUGCCACGUUGGGUCUUUUAACUGAAAUGCAUCAAUCCAUGAUACUAGUACCUGCCCUGCAAUCUCAGUGAUUAAUGAUGCAUGUUAGUAUGAUGUUAUUAAGCUAUGCAACUCUUUUGUGUGGAUCCUUAUUAUCUGCCGCUAUUAUAAUCAUUAGAUUUUGAAAUAAAUUCCAUUUCUUUUCUAAAAUGAAAAUAAUGUUUUAGAUAAAACAUUUUUCUUUGGUGAGAUUACUAUUUCUAUGCAAAAAUAAGUGCUUUAAAAAGCACCUCGGUCCCUUCAUUCCUAACUUACUAUAA